rnacentral:pre_miRNA from 1 species
AGCAUCCUCCUCUUAGGAAUUUUAUAUUUGAGAAAUUUCUAGUGAGUGAGGAUGUUAA